ACCUGGUUGGCUUAGUCAGUAGAGCAUGCGACUCUUGAUCCCAGGGUCAUGAGUUUGAGCCCACAUUGGGUG
rnacentral:tRNA from 1 species